rnacentral:rRNA from 1 species
GCGGCGUGCUACCAUGCAAGUCGAACGAUGAUCCCCAGCUUGCUGGGGGGAUUAGUGGCGAACGGGUGAGUAACACGUGAGUAACCUGCCCUUGACUCUGGGAUAAGCCUGGGAAACUGGGUCUAAUACCGGAUAUGACCAUCUGGCGCAUGUCAUGGUGGUGGAAAGCUUUUGUGGUUUUGGAUGGACUCGCGGCCUAUCAGCUUGUUGGUGGGGUAAUGGCCUACCAAGGCGACGACGGGUAGCCGGCCUGAGAGGGUGACCGGCCACACUGGGACUGAGACACGGCCCAGACUCCUACGGGAGGCAGCAGUGGGGAAUAUUGCACAAUGGGCGAAAGCCUGAUGCAGCGACGCCGCGUGAGGGAUGACGGCCUUCGGGUUGUAAACCUCUUUCAGUAGGGAAGAAGCGAAAGUGACGGUACCUGCAGAAGAAGCGCCGGCUAACUACGUGCCAGCAGCCGCGGUAAUACGUAGGGCGCAAGCGUUAUCCGGAAUUAUUGGGCGUAAAGAGCUCGUAGGCGGUUUGUCGCGUCUGCUGUGAAAGACCGGGGCUCAACUCCGGUUCUGCAGUGGGUACGGGCAGACUAGAGUGCAGUAGGGGAGACUGGAAUUCCUGGUGUAGCGGUGAAAUGCGCAGAUAUCAGGAGGAACACCGAUGGCGAAGGCAGGUCUCUGGGCUGUAACUGACGCUGAGGAGCGAAAGCAUGGGGAGCGAACAGGAUUAGAUACCCUGGUAGUCCAUGCCGUAAACGUUGGGCACUAGGUGUGGGGGACAUUCCACGUUUUCCGCGCCGUAGCUAACGCAUUAAGUGCCCCGCCUGGGGGAGUACGGCCGCAAGGCUAAAACUCAA